AGCAGCCGCGGUAAUUCCAGCUCCAAUAGCGUAUAUUAAAGUUGUUGCAGUUAAAAAGCUCGUAGUUGAAUUUCGGGAUCAAUAUAUCGGUCAUGCUUAGGUAUGUACUGGUAUUAUUGAUUUCUCCCUUCUGAAGAACCAUGAUGUCAUUAAUUUGAUGUCGUGGGGAAUCAGGACUGUUACUUUGAAAAAAUUAGAGUGUUUAAAGCAGGCAUACGCUUGAAUACAUUAGCAUGGAAUAAUGAAAUAGGACGUUUGAUUCUAUUUUGUUGGUUUCUAGGAUCGACGUAAUGAUUAAUAGGGAUAGUUGGGGGCAUUAGUAUUCAAUUGUCAGAGGUGAAAUUCUUGGAUUUAUUGAAGACUAACUACUGCGAAAGCAUUUGCCAAGGAUGUUUUCAUUAAUCAAGAACGAAAGUUAGGGGAUCGAAGACGAUCAGAUACCGUCGUAGUCUUAACCAUAAACUAUGCCGACUAGGGAU
rnacentral:rRNA from 1 species